UUGGGCGUGUACUCUUAGGAGUAGUCUGCUCUGCAAAGGCAGACUCAGUGAUUCGAACUCACGCCUUUA
rnacentral:tRNA from 1 species